AUGCAUUCUCGGUCUGUGCUAGCCCUGGGUCUGCUCCUGCUGUUGAGCCUCGACGGAGAGGUGGCCCUGGCGGCGGAAGACGGCCAGUUCGCCUACCAAGGUUUCGUCACCGCGAACCUCACGCUGGAUGGCCUCGCCACCGUCAUGCCCAACGGCCUCCUGUUGCUCACCGAUCCGGUCACGGAGUACAAGACAACAGGCCAUGCCUUCCACCCUGCACCACUCCGCUUCCUCAAAAGUUCCACCACGUCGUCGACGACGACGACGACGACGAACAGCACCGCCAUGGCGCGGUCCUUCUCCGCGACCUUCGUGUUUGCCAUUUCGUCCAGGUACGAUGGCCUGACCAGCUAUGGGCUUGCGUUCGUGGUCGCGCCGACCUCGAACCUCUCAGCAGCAAACGGCGGGCGGUACCUGGGCCUCCUCAACGCGACAAACGGCACGGCGAGCGACCGGAUCUUGGCGGUCGAGCUCGACACCAUCAUGGACGCUGCGUUUCGCGACAUCAACAGCAACCACGUCGGCAUCAACGUCAACAGCCUCAUCUCACGGCAAGCCAAGCCGGCUGGGUACUACAGCGACGAGAACGGCGUCUUUCAAGACCUGAGGCUAAACAGCCGCCAACCGAUGCAGGUGUGGGUGGACUACAACGCCCAGGCCAGGCGAUUAAACGUGACAUUAGCACCCAUCCAGGUACGAAAGCCUAGAAAUCCUCUGCUCUCCGAGGUCAUCGAUCUCUCCGCGGUCACGACGGACAAGAUGUACGUCGGCUUCUCGGCUUCUGCAGGUCUCAGUAUAGGCACGCACCACUAUGUCCUUGGAUGGAGCUUCAGCUUGGACGGACCUGCCCCGCCGCUAGACUUCUCCAAGCUUCCCUCCUUGCCACGCCUGGGACCCAAGCCUCGGCCCAAGAUAUUGGAUGCCGUGCUGCCACUAGUCACCACAUCCCUUGUGAUUGUAGUGCUAGCUGCCGUCUUCUUCUUCUUGUGA
rnacentral:rRNA from 1 species